CUGAGCUUUUCAGCUGUUGGUGAGCAGCAGGCAGCUGAUGAUUCCAGAUCAUGAAAACAGCUUACAGCCAAAGCUGUCAUCAGCAAGGAGCUGCAUUCCCUGCGCAGACCUGUGGCCGCCCGCCCGGCUGCCGCCCGAGACGUGGCGCUGCCUUCGCCGGGAAGGGGCGGGCGGGGCGCGGCGGUGCACCGCGCUUCUCCCUCCCCGCCGGCCGCCGCCUCCGCAGGGCCGCAAAAGGCCCGCACCGCGACCGCGCUCCCCCCCUCCGCCCCGCCGGGCCCGGCGUUGCUCGGCGGGAGCUCGGCGGGAGCUCGGCGGCCCGGGGGAGCCGGCAGAGCGGCCGCUGCCGCCGGGCCCGGUGGAGAGGCGGCGGCUUUUCCGGACGGACCCUUCCGGCAGCGCGGGGAAGGGGAGCGGCCUCCUCGGCCGGACCGCCUUCCGGGGUGCGUUCCUGCCGGCCGGGCGGGGCUGUGCGCGGCUUCAUCUGCGCGAGCUGCCGGGCGGCGUUGGGCCGCGGCGCUGCAGGGGGGGGGGCGGCACCGCGCUGCUGUGCAGGGUCGGUUUUGGUUUCGUUUCUCUCAUUUGAUUGCUUUCUGCAACUUCUCUGCUCUGCAUUUGUUCACGCGCACAGAAUUUCGUGAAAGCACGUCCCCCCGCACACACCGUGCUGUGCGUUGUCAGUGGCAGGUGGGUAUGCAUGCACACCCUUCGUUCACCUCCCUAAGAGACUGCUUGUUCCAUGCAUCUGGAGGGAAGAGGUGACUGACUAACAGCUGCUUCCUACUGUGAUGUUAAGAGAAGGCUGAUGGAUAAGUAUAAGUCAGGAGGACAGUAAAACCCAAACCAUCAGAGAAUCUGAAUUGUUUGAAGGGCUCACAAAGCUGCUAACCAGGCUCCUGGCACAGUGCUAAGGGCACUAGCAGGGCACAGGUGUUGCGGUAGUUGCUUAAAGCGCCAGGAGAAUCACCAGGCACUAACUCAUGAGACCUUGGAGCUGUGUAGGAGACGAAUUUGUGUGUCCUGCAGCCUCUGUCUUCAGCAGAGAAAGAGCCAGUGGCGUCUCCCAAAGUUUACUGCAAUUUCUCUCCCUGAGGACUCCUCUCCCCUUCAGAUACAGAAUGUGCACGCAGCCAUUCAAUCACAGCCGGUGCGGCUCCCCUCCACCCUGCAGCUGGCAGAGCCGUCCUGCCGCUUCUCUGCAAGUGAGCUCCCUCAGACCUUAAUAGGAAUUGUCUUUUUCGGGAACCCACAAGGCUUCGGCCCUAAAAGGGGAAGGCUGUUUUAUUUAUAUUGGCUCUGACAAAAAACGACUGACAGCUAUUAGGGUAAGACAGACCAUGCGCAGAGAUACCUGUCCAUCAGGGUAUUUGGGUAGCCCACUGCAAUAAAUUCAGCUGAAAACAUCUUCCCUCUCAUUAUUCCCCUUCUUAAGGGACCAAUGGAGCAAAGACCAGCAGUUCUGUUAAACUGUCUGUCCGCACAGAGCUGCAGAAUUCAGCCUGUUCCUGGCGUCAUGAAGAACGUCAAUGUUCCAAGGAAAGGCUGCUGCUUCUGCGGGUACAAAUUGUGAGCAGAUGUGUCAGAAGUAACGAGGGAUAGAGGUAGGAGAGAAGGGCUCCGUGCUCUGCAGGAGCAGUGGGUGGCGCACUCUGCACAGCACAAAGCACAAAGCCGCUGUGGAGCUUUCCAGUUACAGCUAUUAAAGCUACAAACGUGUUGUUCUAAAUAUUUCCUUAGCAGAGCUCUCACUCCCUAACCACUGACAAGAACGCGUUCCAAUUCCCUCUGCUUAUUGCAUGCUUUUCUGCUUACAUAUUCCUAUUAUUUGGUGUCACUCAGUCUGCAAAAACUUCAUUAAAAAAGAAACCUCUGCUAACCACGCAGAAAGAGCUCUAUUACUGGCCGGCUGCAGCCAGGCUCCGGCAUCCAGGAAAAACUGGCUUUGUGUUAAACACAGAACGUGGGACAAGCAGCCAGCAAUUCCGCAAUGAGCUAUAGGAAAGGCUGCCUUAAUAUUUUAUUUUUGUAUUUUAUUUACUGAUCUAUUAUUUAUAUGCGUGUAACAUUUAUACCCCACUCUGCCUAAACAAUUUUAGCGUGUCUAUUUUAACAGCAAUAAGGAUUUGAGGUGUUACUUUCCUGACUCAUUCCUAUGAACAGAGGGGAGACUCUGAUGUAACUGUGGCGUGUCUGAUCUAACAGCUUCACUCAGAAUUUAACCAACCUCUAUCCUACACAAAGGAAGACUGUGAAAAUAUAAAAAGCAGUGUUGUGUAACCGGAAGGUUUGCAGAUGAGAACUCUUGCAAUCAGAAUAAACUAAGAUUUAAGGCCUUGUUACUGAAAGUCUCUCGCCAACGCCCUCCUCCUGUUUAAAGCUGCAUUUCCUUUGGUCUCAGCAGCUGUUCUGAAAAACAAACUUCUAAGAGCUCAUUAAUUUCCAGGGGAUAUUCCAUUAUUGUGUCCCUGGGUCACAAGGGUUAGUUCUGGUGUCAGAACACCUGAUGUAUUUAAGGAAACUAAUUCAGAAAGUUCUCUUUCCAUGUAUCAAUUCAUGUGUUGCGCAUGUGUGGAGGGAGGAGAAGGAAAUUACUGUUUUUAAGUGGUUUUAAGCUUAGGUUUUCCACAAUAAAUGAUUUUUCUGUCAGCCUGAAAGAAAUAAGUUUCUGUUUUUCUUUCCUGGAAAUUACUUUCCCAGGCUGGGGCUCCUGGUUAAGAAAAUGUUGAAAUUGCACCCACUAACUCAUAAGUUACUACUGCACUGCAGUGCUUCCCUCAGGGACUCCAGAGCCCCCAGACAGUGCUGUGCAGCAGGCAACACGG
rnacentral:lncRNA from 1 species